UGAACGGCCAAUUGUUGCACGUAGGCAUUCUGGCUAUAAUGAGGACUCUGAAGAAGAUGAAUAUGAACCCCAAGAAUUCCCUAAACACCAACGGCAAGGGAAAUAUAGGAGGAGAGGUGCUCGUGGUUAUGAUGAGUGGGAGAACAAGAAUUUUCAACUCAAAGUUGAUAUUCCCAACUUCAAUGGGAGUCUCAACAUCGAGAAAUUUCUGGAUUGGAUAGCUGAUGUGAAAAGAUUCUUCGAUUACAUGGAGACAGCUCUAGAAAGGAGGGUGAAAGUAGUAGCUUGUCGGUUGAAAGGUGGUGCUUUUGCUUGGUGGGAGAGAUUGCAACUAGAACAGCUUGGUGCCAACCACCUAGGAUGAAACUAGAACAGCUUGGGAGUCUGCUCCUGAAAUUUGGUCAUUGAAAUCCUCGUCGUUAGCCUCCAUGCGCCAUCGAAAUAUCACUAGACUUUGUACAUGUGUUGGCGUGUGACAGAUAUUCUCGCCACCUUUCUUGCCAGAGUCAACACCGAUCAACUUGUCCUUGACCGACGAGUCUUCUUAGCAACAAAACAGCUCCGGUCUCCUUGGUCUCUCAACUCCAAAGACAAAAGCUUCUACUUCCACAUUGUUUCAGAGUUGUUUCAUUCAAACAAUUCUUUUCAAGUGUAAUUUUCAAUAGCACUCUCAGCAUGACUAAAAAGACUAGUUCC
rnacentral:misc_RNA from 1 species